GUCGCCACCUACUCGCCUCCCUGACUCACUUGUAGACUGUCGGGCGCUGACACACACGCAAUGAGGUCGUCAAAGCUGGUGGUCCCUACGUUUUAUUAAAUGUAUUCAUGUUAAUCAUCAUAUUUUAAUCACACACCUUCCCUAUGGAGUAACAGAAUGGGAGAAGUUAAGCUGUGUGCUCAAGAUUACAUGGCUAGGAAGCAACUUACUGAAGAAGUACAGCUCUUUUGCUGGUUAAGCCUGGACAUGUCUUUUCUUAGCUCCCAGAGAUUAUACUGGUAAAAGCAGAGCUAAGGCUUGACUCCAACCCUCCUGAUGCCUGUCCUGUGCUUCUCUACACUAAGCUGACCUAUCCUUUAAUGAAGAGCCUUCAAUAAUGGCUAUGCAUUAAAAAAUAAACUAAUAUAACUAACUUUGAAAGGAUGAUGAAUCAGAAAUGUUUCUUCUUAAUCUUUUAAAUACAGCACAUUGCAGAAUCCUUGAGGUGACUUUAGAUUUAUUUCUUCAAAUUUCCAUCAUUCAUCAAAACUUUUUGUAUACUUUUUCUUUAUUAUUAUAGUAAAUGUCUUUGAACAGAGCUGAAAAGUUGCAAGUUAUAAAACCCACUUAUAAUCUCCACUUUUUGAAUGUUUAUGUUCUUAAGAAGUUGCCAAAACCUAACCCUUCAUUUCCUCCCUGUACCCCACUAAAUAUUUGUAUUAGUCAGGGUUCUCUUAGAGGGACAGAACUAAUAGGAUAUAUGAGAGCCAGUCCAAGUCCUAAAACUGAAGAACUUGGAGUCUGAUGUUCAAGGACAGGAAGCAUCCAGCAGGAGAGAAAGAUGUCGACUGGGAGGCUAGACCAGUCUCACCUUUGUACGUUUUUCUGCCUGCUUUAUAUUUGCUGGUAGCUGAUUAGAUUGUCCCCAUCAGAUUAAGGGUGGGUCUGCCUUCCCCAGACCACUGACUCAAAUGUUAUUCUCUUUUGGCAGCACCCACACAGACACACCCGGGAUGAAUACUUUGUAUCCCUCAAUCCAAUCAUGUUGACACUCAGUAUUAACUAUCACAAUAUUUUUUUUUGGCAACUGUCUUACUUUUAGGAACAUCAAAAUAAUUAUUUUCCAGCUAUAUUGGUCAAAUCCAGAGUUAAAAUAAUACUAUAAUAGAGUCAAUUUCUAGAGAACCUCAAAGAAAAUUUUUUAAUUUAUUAAUUGAUAUUUGUAUCGAAAUUGUCUUUAAAAUGUUGACAAUAGGUUGCUUUGUUUUUCAAGA